AAUCGAACCCGGAGAUAGCUGGUUCUCCCCGAAAUAGCUUUAGGGCUAGCGUCGCAGCGAGAGAGCCGUGAAGGUAGAGCACUGAAUAUGCGAUGGCCGCAUCCCGCGGUACUGAGCAUAAUCAAACUCCGAAUGUCACGGUGUCAUCUGCGGCAGUCAGACGGCGAGUGAUAAGGUCCGUCGUCAAGAGGGAAACAGCCCAGACCAUCAGCUAAGGUCCCAAAGUGCAUGCUAAGUGGAAAAGGAAGUGGAGACGUGCAGACAACUAGGAGGUUGGCUCAGAAGCAGCCAUCCUUCAAAGAGUGCGUAACAGCUCACUAGUCGAAUGACUCUGCGCCGAUAAUUUACCGGGGCUAAGCAUGACACCGAAGCUAUGGACAGGAAUGUGGUAGGGGAGCAUUGCAUGCAGCGGAGAAGCAUGACCGGGAGGGCAUGUGGAGCGCAUGGAAGAGAGAAUGCCGGCGUGAGUAGCGGCACGUGGGUGAGAAUCCCACGCACCGAUGGCCCAAGGUCUCCAGAGGAAGGCUCGUCCUCUCUGGGAUAGUCGGGACCUAAGGCGAGGCCGAAAGGCGUAGCCGAUGGACGACGGGUGGAUAUUCCCGUACCCGAUGUGUGGCGAUGGAGUGACGGAGAAGGCUCAGGCAACCAGCUGCUGGAAUAGCUGGGGCAAGCGAGAUACCUGCGCACCAGGGAAAUCCGGUGCGCAUAAGGGGAAGGCGCGAUGCAUACGGAAAGCUUCGGCAAGUACGGAAAAGCUGAGAGCAGGCUUCCAGGAAAAGCUUCUAGCACAACACACAUCGGCCCGUACCGAAAAUGGACACACAUGGGCAAGGAGAGAAUCCUGAGGUGAGCGAGAGAACUAUAGCUAAGGAACUCUGCAAAAUGACCCCGUAACUUAGGGAGAAGGGGUGCUCCAGAAAUGGAGCCGCAGUAAAACGGCCCAAGCGACUGUUUACCAAAAACACAGCUCUCUGCGAAGGCGCAAGCCGAAGUAUAGGGGGUGACGCCUGCCCGGUGCUGGAAGGUCAAGGGGAGCUGUCAGCGCAAGCGAAGCAGCGAGCCGAAGCCCCAGUAAACGGCGGCCGUAACUAUAACGGUCCUAAGGUAGCGAAAUUCCUUGUCGGGCAAGUUCCGACCCGCACGAAAGGCGUAACGAUUUGGGCGCUGUCUCAGCUGUAGACUCGGUGAAGUCUUAGUACCUGUGAAGAUGCAGGUUGCCCGCGACUAGACGGAAAGACCCCAUGGAGCUUCACUGCAGGUUGACAUUGGGCUUGGAUGCAUGAUGUACAGGAUAGGUGGGAGGCUGUGAGCCGUGCGCGCCAGCGUACGGGGAGCCGCUGUUGGGAUACCACCCUUCAUGCAUCUAGGUCCUAACCGGAGGCAACGGGCCACGGGACAGUGUCAGUCGGGCAGUUUGACUGGGGCGGUCGCCUCCCAAAGAGUAACGGAGGCGCCCAAAGAUACCCUCAGCAUGGAUGGAAACCAUGCAUAGAGUGCAAAGGCAUAAGGGUGUCUGACUGCGAGACAUACAGGUCGAGCAGGGACGAAAGUCGGGCUUAGUGAUCCGGCGGAUCCGAAUGGAAGGGCCGUCGCUCAACGGAUAAAAGCUACCCUGGGGAUAACAGGCUGAUCUCCCCCAAGAGUUCACAUCGACGGGGAGGUUUGGCACCUCGAUGUCGGCUCAUCGCAUCCUGGAGCUGAAGUCGGUUCCAAGGGUUGGGCUGUUCGCCCAUUAAAGCGGUACGCGAGCUGGGUUCAGAACGUCGUGAGACAGUUCGGUCCCUAUCUGUCGUGGGCGCAGGAGGUUUGAGGAGAGCUGCCCCUAGUACGAGAGGACCGGGGUGGACGGACCGAUGGUGCACCAGUUGUCACGCCAGUGGCACAGCUGGGCAGCCAAGUCCGGACGGGAUAAGCGCUGAAGGCAUCUAAGCGUGAAGCCCCCUCCAAGAUGAGACCUCCCAUUGG
rnacentral:rRNA from 1 species